rnacentral:rRNA from 1 species
GCAAGACUUAGACUGGUUGCCCACUGAAGCUAAGCAGGGUUGAGCCUGGCCAGUACCUGGAUGGGAGACCUCCUAGGAAAACUAGGUUGCU